AAACCAACAGGGAUUGCCUUAGUAACGGCGAGUGAAGCGGCAAAAGCUCAAAUUUGAAAUCUAGUACCUUCGGUGCUCGAGUUGUAAUUUGAAGAAAGUUUCCUUGGUUAGUCCGUUAGCCUAUGUUCCUUGGAAUAGGACAUCAUAGAGGGUGAGAAUCCCGUAUGGCUUUGGAUCCUAUCCUUUGUAGGAAGCUUUCGAAGAGUCGAGUUGUUUGGGAAU
rnacentral:rRNA from 1 species